GCGGGUGUGGCGGAAUUGGCAGACGCGCAGGAUUUAGGUUCCUGUGUCCUCGGACGUGGGAGUUCAAGUCUCCCCACCCGCA
rnacentral:tRNA from 1 species